GUUUUAUAUCCUCAGUCAGAGGGAAGUUUAAAGGAAGAAUCUGAAACAACUGAAAUGAUUCAUCAGUAAGGAGAGGUUUCUAAUAUGAAUGUUCAGUGUGCUUAAGGCAACUUUAGGGAGCAUAAGUUUCAGCAGAAAGUUUUGUGCUUUGAUUUUUAUAGUUUUGAAUAUGUAUUUUAAAAAUUAUGUCUUUAUGAUGUAAGAAAACAUCCUCAGCUUCAUGUAAAUACUAAGCAUCAGUCAGAACUGACACAUAUUUUGAUAUAAUUCAAAUUGCAGGUGAACCAGAAAAAGGAGGAUGUAAGUAAACUAGCAAUACCACACUGCCACAAAGCACUGAGGGGAGGACGGUUGUUUACAUAUAAUGAAACCUCAUCCUGUCUGUUGGACCCUUCAUCCUGUCAGUCUACCAUUACUGUAAUACAGAAUACAUAUUAGAAGGAUUUGAGAGGAACCCACCAUUUGUUUUCUUCCAGUCACAAAACAGCCACCAGCAGAAGAGCUGGAUUCAGACGAUUGAAAGGGUAGGAAACAUAUUAUCAAUAUUCUAAGUGUGAACUGAUUUGAAAAAAUACAUCUCUCCGUAGACACUUCCUGAAAAUCUUAUGUGAACUAUUUUAUAAGAGCACACAGGUGCAAUGGCUUUGCCAGCUAGCCAAGAUCUUAAGAUUCAUGCUCUUUUUUUUUCUAUUAUCUCUGGUGUAUAGGAGACUGCUCUUAAGGCUAUUCUGUGCAGGAAGUGAUAAGUAUGUUCAUAAAGGUGUGGCUUAGCUCCCUAGCAAUUCCAUGGUUACAGGACUGUAGUAAACUAGCCUUAAGUAAAACAAACAAGCUUUGUGGAAAUCAAAAGCUGAGAAUGCAAGCUAUCUCUUUGAUUAAAGCAGCUAAUCUUUGAUUGUAGGUGGUGAGCUCCACCUUAUUUCCCUGCAUCCAGCAGUUUCACAGGGGCUGGAUGCAUUAUAUCUUUCAAUGCCUUCAAUGCUAGUGCAAAGGAAUGUUUUUAAAAGUCAUUUUCUUCAAGAUGCAAGAAAAAGAGGUUAAAUUUAUAUGGUCCCAAAAAUGUGAUUAAAGGGAAAAGCCUUGUAUCAUUUACUAAAAAUCUCAUCCUAUACAGAAUGGCUCAUCUGAAAGUGAGAGGUACAGAGCAGAACACAAUACUAAACAGAAUCUACAUCUUUUGUCAUGUUUGUCUUCCCAGGAAUAAAGAUGAAUAGCAUAAGCUUAGAUAUUACAGUGCAUAUAAGGAUUUAAUCUAUCUGGAAAAAAAAAAAAAUAAGUGGAGAGGUGAGGCCAAAACUGGCCUGUAAACUGUGGACAAAGAGGUUGGCCUUGUCUAUCUCCCCAUUCACAUAAAGCAAAACACUGGACAAAGAGAAGCAGCAGUUGAAUGACGGUAAGUCCAAAUUAUGUCCCAGACAUCUACUUUACACAGAGCAUUAUCAGUACGUUGACUCUACUCACUGCAUAGCUACUCGCAAGUUGUGCCAGGCAAUUUUCUCUUCUGUGUGCCCUAGGGCUCUUUCCCUUUUCCUUAUCAUCAUACAAUUAUGUGUAAAAAAGACAAAAUCUUAAUGUAUUGUAACUGUCACACUGCGCUUGAAAUAGUUACUUGAGAAAACCAAAGAAAGACUGAACACAAGGUGAUAUUUCCUGUCAAACAAGGGUGUGCCACAUUAACAGAGGGCAGUGGAAAGGAGGUGUGGUAGUAUUGGCACUUAUAAAACAGCUCUGUCAGAGCAUUUUAUCACAACUCCAACAAAUUGGGAAGAGAAAGGGCAGAACUCAUUUCACCUGCAUGCCAUGUGCUUACUUAUUAUCUAUGUUUAUAAAGCAAUUGUGUGUUUAUUAAGUGAUAAAAUGAACUGACUUGCAUCAGAUGACAUCUUAAAUUAAGAAUUUCUACAGUGUGCUGAAGGGAAGAACAUAUUUAGUACUGUUGUUUACAUAUGUGUGCAUGGUAUGUAUCUAUAUAUUCUUGAAUGCAUUUACGUACUGCAAUAUGUAUAAUUGACAAUGUUUCUUAGAAAUUCACAUCACUCUAACGUCAACUUGAUAUAUUACUAAGGGCACUACUAUCUUACUUCCAUCAUUUGUUUUUCAUGGCACGUAGAAUCUGUGAUCAAGACAAAGGAACAAUGGUAUUUGCUUAUCCAUACUAAGAGGUUAAAAUGAACAGAUGGUUUGUAAAAUAGAAGCAAUGACAUUUACUUGAGUGAGAAUCUGAUGACUGUAUCUACAUAAAUAUAUAAUACAAUUCAGUAUUAACUAGGGUCUUCCAUGUAAGCAAUUGCAUCUAGAGAUACUGUAGAAGAAAAUGGGAUACCUGCAAAAACUGUAGUUGUCUUACUAAGUUGUAAGUGAUAGAGUAGAAGUAAAAUGGCAAAUUAAUUCUGCCAGUCUGUUAAUAACUAGUCAGGUAAGACUAAGACUGUGUACUUUCAAUACAAGACAGACAAAACCAAAAUACAAAAGUUGUGUAAGAGACUUGAUUUUCUGAAAAAUAUUGUUCCAUUCUUGAGAAUGGAUCCGAUAGGAUGCACAAGUUUGAAAUCCCUGUGUCACUUCCUGAAUACGUAAUAAUUGGUGAUGGAGCUGAUUGGAACAAAAUAAUCUUAAUGAAGAUGAAAGCUCAAGAAACCACUGUAUGACAGGUGGCCUAUGGUGUCUAGUUUGGAUGUACAUAGUUGUAUUCAUCAGUAUAUUAUACAAAAUUCAUCAAUGAAUUAUCCUUAAAGCCUAAGUGCUUCAACAGCUGUUUAAGUUUUGCUUAAGUUUGGCAUUUAUGUUUUGCUUCUGUUUAUUCUUUGGCAAGAAACAGAUGUGCAUUAUCAUAUCUUCAUGUGGAAUAAGUUUAAUUAAACUAUAAUGAAGAAACAAAUAUCAGAGCAGCCGAGUUGAAUGGGAAUGAAACAUUAUAGGAACACACCCUCAUUUUUAUCAGUGUUUUAAGUCAGCUGAGGGCUUGUGGUACAAUUAAAUAAAAAGCCAAAGCUAUACACAUUACUAUUCUCUGCCAAGAUACUCUCAUGAGGCUGGUAUCAAGUUGUCAGUAAAGCCUGAGAAAGUGUAACUUGUAUUAAGUCAUCAUUAGUUGUGCAAUUUGGUCUGUUGUUUUUCACAGAGCCAUUUGAACUUCCAGUAUACAGUCUUUCAUAUGCACUUGCUGAUGAAUUCUUUCAUCACUGCUAUCUUGCAGAAUUGAUUAUCAACUCUGAGUAUGUGAGAGUAGUGUAUGGCAUGAUCUUCUGAUCAUACAUUUUGUAUGUUGUCGAAUUGUAUUUUAUGUUUGUGUGCAAGGUAAUUGGAGUUGAAAAUUCAUGUUUCAGAUAGCUUUGGCUGAUUUCAUGUUUCAGUGAAUUUCUGAGAACUUUCUUUACCUACAGUGUGAAGGUGUAUGUGUGAGGCAUGUGAUGGGUUGAGCAGGAUCAAUCCACUGAAGAAAGAAAUAUGAAAAAUCUCUCGUGAAAAGUUAAAGGAAUACUGCUUUUCCUGUCUUGCUUUUCUUGUAGCUGAAAGCCUCUGUGCUGGGUCUUUGAAAGUAAAGCAUGCAGUGCCCCAAAUAAAAUGUCUAAUGGAGACAUCCGGUCACUUAUUUCCUUUUAAGAGGAGCUAACCAUCUGAUCUUUUUGCAACAGAAUAUAAAGUUUAUCCUGUUGAACUUUAAGCAUAUGAAGACAUUUAAAAUGUUAUUGUUUAUAAAGAUGAUAGGAUUAUUUUGAUACAUUGCAUUUAAAUAGUAGUGAAUGAAAGUUAAUAUUUUGGCUUUAAGCUAUCACAGUUUUAGCUAUCAAUAUGUGCUUCUCUUCACUAAGUUGUGGUGGUGGUGUUGGUGGCAAGGAAGGUGGUGGUGGUUUUUUUGCAUUAUAGCUGAAGUGACAACUCACAUAAAAUCUUUUUUUUAACUGCUGUUUGCACUGUCACACUGACAGAUAUGUAAAGUGCUAUAUACAUACUUUCAGUGGCCAAAUAAAGAAUGUAUUAUCAGUAUGUGUCUUGAUCUAAGACAAAAUACUAAUUUUCCUAAUAAAUAAUAUUUUCUGCUGAAUUUUUCAUUUUCAUAUUGUACCCGAGACUAUCAAAAUGUUACUGAUUGCAAUGAGAAUUUAUUUGAGCAGAUUUUAGGGGCAAUAAAACGUUACAGAAAGUGAAUUUUCAGUCACAAGUAAGGCAGAUUGAAAGGUUAAGGAAGUACUUGCCUAUUCAUCUCAUUAGGUAACAGAAAUCCUAUCACAUGGCUUGUCUUUAAACCCUACUGCAGUUUAAAGAUCCUGUCUCAACUAGUUUCAGUGAAUUAUUUGAAAGAUCAGAUUGGCCAGUAGGAAAAUGUUUCCCUUCAGCAACAUAGUUGCAGUGCUGGAGCAGGUUAUUCCUGGAGGUUUGGAAUCAUUGUCCUUGGAGGUUUUCAGGAGUCACCUAGGCAAAGCAUUGAUAGGUUCAAUCUGGUGUUGGUGUAGUCCAGCUCUGACCACAGUGUUGGACAAGAGGACUUCCAGAAGUCCCUACCUGCUGACGUUUCAAUGAUUCUAAUUCCAGAAAAAUGAUUAACGAUUUAUUUGAAGGGGAACAUGAUUUCCAAUGAGACAAAAAUCUAAAUUUACUGUAUAAUUGUUCAAACUGGUAACCUUAGUGUAAGUCUGUAAUAAUAUUAAUGAAGGACAGUACCAUGCAUGUACAUUUGUUCCAUCCAUAAAUUUCAUAGAAAAAUAGAACUUUGACCUUCAACAGCCUGCAAUCUGCAGAAACUCAACUAAACAACAUACAUCUGUUCAUUGGAAUUGAGUGGGAGCUGAGUAUGAAUACUUUUGUAGGAUUAGGACACCGGGUUGAUUGUCAGCCCAUAAAGGAGAGAAGCUACGUAAAAUAAUAGGGAAAACAAUUUCAUUUUCAUUUAUGUAGCCUAGUCAUCAGUUUUACCUUUUAGUUUGAGUCUAAAGAAAUUAAAUUCCAGCUGGUGCAGGACUGUAAGUGAAUGCUUUCGGUAUGGCUUGGUGAGACUAAUAUCUGCAGGGUACCAAUCCAUCAGAAACCACUUUUCUGGCGCAAUUUUGCAUAUUACCAAGCUUUUAUGAUUAUCCCAAUGGGAAUUAUUUUGAGGCAUCUACACUAUAUUUACAAUCAUUAUAGACCUACCUGGCAGACCAAAAAAUCAGAUCUCUCAAAACAUCUGGACAGCAAUCAAAGCACACUGCUAAGCAGUUUUUCCCAUGCCCUUUCCCACUCAUUUGCUGUUAAAGAAAGGAUGCAAAAAAAAAUUCUUAACAUACAGGUUUAUGUUUCAGGAGUUACAGCAUGCUCCUCCUUCAGAAAACAUUGCCUCAGUUGCUUAUAAUCUCAUACAGCAGCUAAGAACAGAAUGGCUCCUGAAUGUCUUUUCAUGUUUGCUUACAGAUGACAUUUCCCCUACCAAUUCAUUCUGGAGAGGCUGAGGCACACAGAAAAAAAUCUGUUACUAUUAUGCAAAUAAACAAGGGUCCAUACUUAUUUAAUUUAGCUUCUUUGUUUCUUGGAAACAGAGUGAUUUUGGCUAGAUGAGACCUUUGGAGGUCAUUUUGUCCACAAUCUCAGCAUGACCAAUUUUGAAGUUAGACCUGACUUCAAAGUUAGCUCACAUUUCUCAAGGCAUUUCAAGCUAUUUUACAAGAGUCAUUAUCAUUUACAUCAUUUACACUGAUGAGUAAAGUAGAAAGGAAGGAAGGAAGACAAAUAACUUUUUGAUACACAAGUUUGGAACAGAGGACUGACUUUUAGCUAAUCUGAAAGAUAAUCCAAGUUUUGUUGUAGAUCUGAAUGUGGCAAGGUUAUCACUCCAUAUCUCAUUUCUCAAGUUUCAUUCUCUUUUUAUUUGGCUAUUUCAAAAAGAAUUCUGUGGUCAGAACAUUCAGUCAGUGGUGUUUUUAAUAAUAUUGUAUUAAAAGAGAGCCUUGUUUUUGUUUUGUCUUUUUUUCUAUUUAUGGAACUGAGGGAGGAGUAUGUAUAAUAAGAAUGAAAUUGUCACUACAGAUUUAUCCUUUUCAAGCACAAUGAAUUAAAUAAGUUUCUUCAAGUUUCUCAUGUAAUCAAAGACAGGUUUUUUUUUAGUUUUGUUUUCUUAUAAAAAAUAAAUGAAAAAAAAAUUACAAUGCUGAACUUGGAUAACAAUGAAUCUUCAUCUUUAAAACUUUUAUUCCUUGUAUGGAGCCUACAAACAAGAACGUCUAUAAACAUAACUGCCAGGAUAAAGCUAAAGGUGAGCCAUAAACUCUUUAUUUCAACAAGAUCUCAGUUACAAAUUAACUUUGUAAUGCUCAGUGUACAGUGUUUAUACCACAUGGUGUUUCAGGAAGUAGAUCCUGUUGCUGUUCUCUGGAGACAUGCGAUGUCAUUCCUCUGCAUUUUUUAAAUCAAUAAUGUGGCAGAGUUAUGGGUAGAGGGGAGUGGGAAGACGAUUGCCAAACUUGAAAACUUGUCGAGGUCUUUGGCAUUGAUAUGAAUAGAGUUUCCUUAGCAUGGUAUGUUGCUCAAGUAAAUUACAUUAAUUUUUUAUUUAAUUUUUUUUUUUUUUCAUGUUAGAUCAUAGAAGAGAGGUGCAGAGGUACUGGCAUUCUUUGUGCCAGUUCACAGAUGUCUGUAAGCAUAUAUGUCAAGCUAAGAAUAUAUGAAGUGUAUAGUCUUCCAUACAAAUCCAAUAGCUAUCAUUUUGUAUGAAGUAGAUACAUGUUAAGGCUUUGAAAUGACACCCUUGUAAAGGUAGCUAAAUUGUGCCAGACUUGUGGCUAAAUGUGACACUUUUUUUUUUUUUCUGUGAACAGCUAAAAUUUGCGUUUUCAUUCAUGUGUACAGUUGCUACCUUCCCCCAGACACCUCUGUGGUAUACAUACAUUUGGAAUGGGAACAAUAGGUCGGGAUAAGAGGAACACUUGAAAUGAACGUAUUUUUAUGGUUCUGAUAAAGGGAUAAGAAUCAUCCCACACACAAUUAACAAGCUGUUAAGCUGCUUCAUUCCCAGUAUAUCCAACCAGAAGGAGCAUCAAUGGGAUCUUCUAUACAUGCACUGACAGAGGAAAAUAUUCACAGCUGUUAUGUGAAUUCAUCAGUGCCAGAAAACACACUGCUGAAUAUAUUCUUAUUAUGUAAGUAUAUGUAUGUUACAGAUUAAAGUUUUUACCUCCAUGUAUCUGGGAAUUUUCCCCUUGUACAGCAAGAAUAUAUCAUCAGGACUGCUUUUCAGCUGCACAUGAGCAACAGAGACAACAGCUGAGAGGCAUUUAACAGCUACCUUGUAAAGUUCACAGAGCUGCACCUGUGUGCUCUGAAGUUCUUCGCGCGGUCUCCACCAGGUAAAUACUUGUAAGUUUGAAUUCUAAGAUAGUAUCCUUGAACUGUGUUUACUUUCACUGAAAUAAAUGUAAAUAGUGAUACUUUUAGCAUGUGAAUUGGUGUCUGCCAAACUGGGUCCAUAACUUCAUAAGACUUUAAAACAGCAUAAAAAAACUGACCAGUUUUAAAACUAACAUAUUAAAAGAAGGAAAGAAGAUGAGGUGUUAAUAUUUAAUUAACAUUGGAUAAAUCCAUUGGAUAGUCACAGUUAGAUGUUCAGCUCUGCAUUUUCCCUGCAUUGGGUGUGACUUAGCAGCAGCACUGUUUUUUGGUCACCAAAAAGUAUAUUUCGACCCAACACUGAUAUUGAAUUACAAACUAAAAAUCUAUUUAAACAAUUAAA
ensembl:lncRNA